UUCAACGGAACGGCGUUCGUAGGAGCCGUUUAUUUUUUCGGCCUUUUUAACGUCCGGUAAGAAUUCGGAGAAGGUUUUGUCUUUCUGUGCUACGGGAAGAUUCUCGGGAAAAUUCAGGCGCCUCUAACCAUCCGCAACUCCUCGCUGAUUGCAAAAUGCCCGGACGAAGACUUUCCUGAACUACAAAAGGAGGAAGACGGUACACGCAGCCUUCCACAGCAGUGCACCGAAUUAGGACGAUUACAGAGCGCGUGCGCAGAGCAGCAGCAGCAGCCGCCUCUCCACUUUCACAACAACCGGCCCGGUUUUCGAGGAUAAUGACAGCCUAUAGGACCCCUGAUGUUGCACUUCAAGAACUGGCCACUGUACAAGAACUGCUUACCUCGUACCUUUACACCCAGAAAUCCGUGGACCAAAGGCAGGCCUUCGUGGGAAGCACG
rnacentral:lncRNA from 1 species